GGGGGUUAAAAUAAAGAUGACCCUCGGGGGCGCGACUCCCAAGGGAAAAGAAAUAGGUGAUAGGUAAAUGGUAAAACCAAGGUUGGGCCUUGCUGGAGGAGUUUUAUUCAAGGCGAACUGUCAAGGGGUCCCCAUAACAACCCAACCGCGUAAGGAACGCAAAAUCAAGGAACAUAACACCGGUAUGACGGAAACUAGGGCGCCAACAGUGGAACAAAACACCAGGCAUACGGCCAAGCCUUCCACCCUUUACCAAGUAUAUUGAUGCAUUAAUAAUAUAAGAGAUAUCGUGAUAUCCCAACAAAGUUCAUGAUAUCCAUGUCCCAACAUGGAACAAUCUUCAUCUUCACCUGCAACUAGCAAUGCUAUAAGAGGGGCUGAGCAAAAGUGGUAACAUGGCCAAACCACGGUUUUCUAGGAAGGGUGAAAAGGUUAGAGGCCGACAUGGCAAUGUGGGGGGCUUGAAGAGCAUGUGAUAGGUAGCACAGCAUAGCGAUAGAACGAAGCAACUAGCAUAGAAAUGAUAGUAAUGAGAUCCAAGGUGACGGUCAUCUUUCCUGAAAUCCCCCUAGAAAGAAGAACGAGUCCAUGAAGAAGAUGAAGCCACGAAGACGAACCAAGCGUAGUCAAACGAAUCCUCACGAUCGCAACAAAACAGGAACUAACGAGAAGCAGCACAACCGGAAGGAAGCAAACAACAAGGUAAACACACACCACUUAAACAUGACAUGAUGCACAACCAAACAUGAUGCAUGACAAGGCUAGAUGAAGCUACUCAUGGCAAGAGAUGAUGCAUACAAGAGCAACACAUCAAAGCAAGUUUAAAUGAGGCCGGAAACAACAUAUAACAAUUCCGGUGAGUCCUCAUAUGCAAAUUUCGAAAUUGGUCCAGAUCUGAAUAAGCCUUAUGUUCAAGUUGUUAAACAACAAUUUAAGAUGCACCAAGAUGAUCUACACGAAAUUCUAGUCAAGUUUCAUAUAAAGUUCAUUUAAUUCGGAGCUACGGCCUGGAAGAUAUGAGCAAAACAGGUUAAACAUGGCAUUUAUGCAAAAUUCAUCCAAACAUCAAGCAAACACCUCAAAACAAGGAUGCAACAUGAUAAUAUGGAACUACAUGCAAAACUAAGCAAGUUUCAUAUAGAGCAUGCUCGAAACGGAGCAACGGUGCAACACAUACACACCAAACAAGAUAUAGCAACAAUCUGUUUAAAACAGCAACUAGGCAUCUAGCAAGCAUCAAAACAACACGCUACAGUACCCUAACAUGAGAUAAAAAGGCAUGGUCAUGAUUUACAGGUAAAGCAUGACAAAACAUGAACACUGAUCUAACUCCAGAAAUCAAUAGAACAUGCUAAAAUGGACAUGGCAGGAUUACAAAUAAUAACAGUUUGACAGACUUAGCAGAAAUUACUGGACAUGGCAGAAAUAACAUCAGGUUGCAAUGAUUAGAGCUAGCAAACUACAAGUUAAAGCAAGCUAUCAUGGCAAACUUAAGCAUGGCAUGCUAAUAGUAAAGGCAAAAAACAAAACUCCCUUACUGAUCUAUUUCCAAAGACCAACAGAAAACAUGGUAGUAUCCAUGCAAACAUGGAAAAUGAUAUGACAGAUUCAGACUUCGAGCAAAUAACAGUACAUGGCAGGAACAACGAUAAGUAGGCAUGUUUGUGAGCUUGUACAACUCAUCACAGAGCAAUACAUGGCAUGAAAAGGUGACCAACAGUAAGAUGACACAAUUAUGAAGCUAAGAAUGGCAAGUGUAAGCCCAUAGGGUACAUGGACCACUAGCAAAGCACAUGGCAAAACUGAACUUGAUGUUAACAGGCUGACAGCAACAUUAUUUAGCAAGUUUGGAGCAAGAUUACAACAAGCUACAUCAGGCUAUAAAUGCAAACAAGGGGAGAGAUGGAUAGAGCAUAACAUGUAUAAUAAAACACCCUUAGUGAAUAUCUCCAGAACAUGCAUAGAACCAACAUUUCUUGUUUCCAGAAGAUGUCGGAUGGUUUCUGAAGCUUCCAUGAUCUUGUAAAAGAACAUGGUAACAGGAGGUUUACAUGGAAUCACGGAGGCUACUUUGCAUGCUUGUGCUAGUCACCACAUAGAUCACAAAAAUACAAGACAAGUAUCUCUGUAAAUAUGGCAUGAUGUAGUUCAAAACACAUGUAGAGCUCAUGCUCAUAGGAUGCACGCACAAAAUGCAACAAAAAUGACAAAUCAGCAAGUUCUGAUAAAAGACAGCAGUUAACAGCAUAUAGCACUCUUGCAACGAUGAUUAGGGCAUCAAGGUGAUCUCAGAAAAUCAUGACACAAUGGAACAAAAUAAACAGCAUCUCAUGAUGAACAUUUUGAUAUAUUAUAUGCACAAAUCGGAGCACCGAGAAUGAAGUUAUGAGCAAUCAAAGAUGCACACAUGAUGAUAAAAUCUCAGGGACUUAGCAGAUUUUUACCCUCGUGAAAAGUCAACGCGGGACGAGACGGAGCGGGACGGAGGGAUCCGGGUCGC
rnacentral:lncRNA from 1 species